UACGGGAGGCAGCAGUGGGGAAUAUUGCACAAUGGGCGCAAGCCUGAUGCAGCCAUGCCGCGUGUAUGAAGAAGGCCUUCGGGUUGUAAAGUACUUUCAGUCGUGAGGAAGGUGUUAAGGUUAAUAACCUUAGCAAUUGACGUUAGCGACAGAAGAAGCACCGGCUAACUCCGUGCCAGCAGCCGCGGUAAUACGGAGGGUGCGAGCGUUAAUCGGAAUUACUGGGCGUAAAGGGCACGCAGGCGGUUAAUUAAGUUGGAUGUGAAAUCCCCGGGCUUAACCUGGGAAUGGCAUUCAAGACUGGUUAGCUAGAGUCUUGUAGAGGGGGUAGAAUUCCAUGUGUAGCGGUGAAAUGCGUAGAGAUGUGGAGGAAUACCGGUGGCGAGGCGGCCCCUGGCAAAGACUGACGCUC
rnacentral:rRNA from 1 species